rnacentral:tRNA from 1 species
UGGUAAGUAGUUUAAACAAAACAAAUGAUUUCGACUCAUUAAAUUAUGGCAUCCAUACUAACCAA